ensembl:lncRNA
GUUCCAUUCUACCAUCCCUCGUUCACCCAGUGAUUCAUUCCUUUGUUAAUGUAUCAUGUCAUUCAUCUGUUCAUCCAAUAGGAAAGCCACAGGUAAGAGGCACUUAGAAAAAUAGAAAAAGUCAUUUAAAAAAACAAAACAAUACAAAAGAGUCUGAAACGGCAUCCUAUUCCCUAUGUGGGGCACUACCCCCUCUGUCUGGUUUCUGAUUGGUCCAUUCAGGAAGCAGGUCCAUUUGGAAUGGUCCAUUCAGGAAGCAGGUCCAUUUUGAUUGGUCCAUUCAGGAAGCAGAGGCCAGAUUGACAGCAAGCUACCAUUUACAAUAGACUGGGCUAAAAGCCGGGAUUUAAUUAAAGAAGCGAUAAUCAAACAACACUCUCAACAGUGAUCCUUUUAAAGAUGUUUGCAGAGAUGUUGCAUUUGCGGUAAACGCA